rnacentral:rRNA from 1 species
CAGGUCAGCAUACUGCCGUGAAUACGUUCCCGGGCCUUGUACACACCGCCCGUCACACCAUGAGAGUUGGGGAUACCCGAAGCCUGUGAGCUAACUAUUUAUAGGAGCAGCAGUCGAAGGUAGAAUCAAUGAUUGGGGUGAAGUCGUAACAAGGUAAC